rnacentral:rRNA from 1 species
AUUGAACGCUGGCGGCAGGCCUAACACAUGCAAGUCGCGCGGAUGAAGGGAGCUUGCUCCUGGAUUCAGCGGCGGACGGGUGAGUCAUGCCUAGGAAACUGCCUGGUAGUGGGGGAUAACGUCCGGAAACGGGCGCUAAUACCGCAUACGUCCUGCGGGAGAACGUGGGGGAUCUUCGGACCUCACGCUUUCAGAUGAGCCUAGGUCGGAUUAGCUAGUUGGUGGGGUACAGGCCUACCAAGGCGACGAUCCGUAACUGGUCUGAGAGGAUGAUCAGUCACACUGGAUCUAAGACAGGGUCCAGAUUCCUACGGGAUGCAGCAGUCGGGAAUAGUCGACAAUGUGCGAAAGCCUGAUCUAGCCGUGCCGGCUGUGUGAAGAAGGGCUUCUGAUUGUAAAGCACAUUAAGUUGGGAAGAAGGGCAGUGAAUUAAUACCUAGCUGAUUUGACGUUACCAACAGAAUAAGGACCGGCUAACUUCGUG